UCUCCGUUGGUGAACCAGCGGAGGGAUCAUUACAGAGUUUAUUAUAACUCCUAAACCCAUGUGAACCUACCUUCUGUUGCCUCGGCAGGCAAGUCGUAUCUUGCUACCCUAUAGGACCCUAUCUUGUAAGACGUUACCUUAUAAGGUCCUAUCCGGUAGAGAGAUGCGGUACUACCUGCCGGUGGACUGAAAAAAAAAUUCUGUUUAAUAAAUGGUAUUCAGAAUCAUUAUAUGGAAAUUAAGUUAAAACUUUCAACAACGGAUCUCUUGGUUCUG
rnacentral:misc_RNA from 1 species